rnacentral:rRNA from 2 species
AGAGUUUGAUCCUGGCUCAGGAUGAACGCUGGCGGCGUGCCUAAUACAUGCAAGUCGAGCGAACGGACGAGAAGCUUGCUUCUCUGAUGUUAGCGGCGGACGGGUGAGUAACACGUGGAUAACCUACCUAUAAGACUGGGAUAACUUCGGGAAACCGGAGCUAAUACCGGAUAAUAUUUUGAACCGCAUGGUUCAAAAGUGAAAGACGGUCUUGCUGUCACUUAUAGAUGGAUCCGCGCUGCAUUAGCUAGUUGGUAAGGUAACGGCUUACCAAGGCAACGAUGCAUAGCCGACCUGAGAGGGUGAUCGGCCACACUGGAACUGAGACACGGUCCAGACUCCUACGGGAGGCAGCAGUAGGGAAUCUUCCGCAAUGGGCGAAAGCCUGACGGAGCAACGCCGCGUGAGUGAUGAAGGUCUUCGGAUCGUAAAACUCUGUUAUUAGGGAAGAACAUAUGUGUAAGUAACUGUGCACAUCUUGACGGUACCUAAUCAGAAAGCCACGGCUAACUACGUGCCAGCAGCCGCGGUAAUACGUAGGUGGCAAGCGUUAUCCGGAAUUAUUGGGCGUAAAGCGCGCGUAGGCGGUUUUUUAAGUCUGAUGUGAAAGCCCACGGCUCAACCGUGGAGGGUCAUUGGAAACUGGAAAACUUGAGUGCAGAAGAGGAAAGUGGAAUUCCAUGUGUAGCGGUGAAAUGCGCAGAGAUAUGGAGGAACACCAGUGGCGAAGGCGACUUUCUGGUCUGUAACUGACGCUGAUGUGCGAAAGCGUGGGGAUCAAACAGGAUUAGAUACCCUGGUAGUCCACGCCGUAAACGAUGAGUGCUAAGUGUUAGGGGGUUUCCGCCCCUUAGUGCUGCAGCUAACGCAUUAAGCACUCCGCCUGGGGAGUACGACCGCAAGGUUGAAACUCAAAGGAAUUGACGGGGACCCGCACAAGCGGUGGAGCAUGUGGUUUAAUUCGAAGCAACGCGAAGAACCUUACCAAAUCUUGACAUCCUUUGACAACUCUAGAGAUAGAGCCUUCCCCUUCGGGGGACAAAGUGACAGGUGGUGCAUGGUUGUCGUCAGCUCGUGUCGUGAGAUGUUGGGUUAAGUCCCGCAACGAGCGCAACCCUUAAGCUUAGUUGCCAUCAUUAAGUUGGGCACUCUAAGUUGACUGCCGGUGACAAACCGGAGGAAGGUGGGGAUGACGUCAAAUCAUCAUGCCCCUUAUGAUUUGGGCUACACACGUGCUACAAUGGACAAUACAAAGGGCAGCGAAACCGCGAGGUCAAGCAAAUCCCAUAAAGUUGUUCUCAGUUCGGAUUGUAGUCUGCAACUCGACUACAUGAAGCUGGAAUCGCUAGUAAUCGUAGAUCAGCAUGCUACGGUGAAUACGUUCCCGGGUCUUGUACACACCGCCCGUCACACCACGAGAGUUUGUAACACCCGAAGCCGGUGGAGUAACCUUUUAGGAGCUAGCCGUCGAAGGU